UACGUAGGGUGCAAGCGUUGUCCGGAAUUAUUGGGCGUAAAGAGCUCGUAGGCGGUUUGUCGCGUCGGCUGUGAAAUCCCGAGGCUCAACCUCGGGCCUGCAGUCGAUACGGGCAAACUAGAGUGUGGUAGGGGAGACUGGAAUUCCUGGUGUAGCGGUGAAAUGCGCAGAUAUCAGGAGGAACACCGGCGGCGAAGGCGGGUCUCUGGGCCAUAACUGACGCUGAGGAGCGAAAGCUAGGGGAGCAAACAGG
rnacentral:rRNA from 1 species